CCUACGGGUGGCAGCAGUGAGGAAUAUUGGUCAAUGGGCGCGAGCCUGAACCAGCCAAGUAGCGUGAAGGAUGACUGCCCUACGGGUUGUAAACUUCUUUUAUAAAGGAAUAAAGUGAGGCAAGUGUGCCUUUUUGUAUGUACUUUAUGAAUAAGGAUCGGCUAACUCCGUGCCAGGAGCCGCGGUAAUACGGAGGAUCCGAGCGUUAUCCGGAUUUAGUGGGUUUAAAGGGACCGUAGAUGGGUUGUUAAGUCAGUUGUGAAAGUUUUCGGCUCAACCGUAAAAUUGCAAUUGAUACUGGCAGUCUUGAGUACAGUUGAGGUAGGCGGAAUUCGUGGUGGAGCGGUGAAAUGCUUAGAUAUCACGAAGAACUCCGAUUGCGAAGGCAGCUUACUAAACUGCCACUGACAUUGAUGCUCGAAAGUGUGGGUAUCAAACAGGAUUAGAUACCCCUGUAGUC
rnacentral:rRNA from 1 species